rnacentral:misc_RNA from 1 species
CACCUCUCAAGCGUAGCUUGGUAUUGGGCCUCGCUCCCUCAAAAGGGCGUGCCUGAAAAAUAGUGGCGGUCCGGCGUGGCCUUGAACGUAGUAAAUAUUCUCCCGUUUUGAAGGUCUGCGUCGCGGCUGGCCAGAAGUGCCCACAUUUUCAAG